CUGGCAGCAUCCCAGCAGAGUCAUAUUCCCAUUGCAUUCCUUGGAUAUCUCCCAGCCACUGGCCUGAGAAAGUCACUAACCUUCAUAUGCUUCAUUGUUCUGGCGGGAUGUCUCCAUCCGGAUGGUGUCGCGUGACUUCUGCUGACCACUGAGCAUGCACUUACACAGCUCAUCCCAGAAACAUCUGAUCUAACAGACACAUUCUGGCAAUACCACACCCCCUGCUCCUCAACACCCACCAGCAGGAUGCACAUCUCUUCCAGAGCUGCGGAGCAGCUGGGAGAAGGAGGUGCACCCAUGUUCCCCCUCACAAGGACAUGAGGGAAUUGGGACCAACUGCUGCUGCCACCACUGCCACCUGCUGAGAUCUCCAGCUCAAAGUGACCUGGACCUACUCCAUCUUCUGGGGCAGAGAGAAUGCAAGCAACCACAGAGGAGAAGCUGCUUCCAGAGGUGAUCAACUGACUCAGGAGCCUAAACUUGCAAUUCAGAAGCAGCUUAAGGCGAGGGCUUUUCAGCAAGAGGGAUUUCUAAGGCCCAUCAGUUUCUGAAAACAAGAUUUUGGACCACAGAGAUUUAAACCCAUGAAGUGUUUACACCCUUGAAUGCCCUCGAAUUUAAAGCUGCAGAAGUACCACCCCCACCUCCACGUUUAUACCCUGCUCCAUUCCUCUGCAGAGUGAAGCUGCAGGCAGCUGCAGCAGCCCUCAUGCCCUGCUCUUUGCGUAUCAUUCCUGAGUUAUUAGAGCAAAGUCAGCAAGUGAGCAGAGACGAAGUUAUGACAUUCAGGGCCGGCAAGUACAGUAGCAGUGUAAACAGCAGACAGGCCCAGAAACUCCUCUGCCGUCCCUUCUAUCUUCAAGACUCAUGCUUCUCCGCUGUCCUGAAUCUCUGGAUAGCUUCAAACCUGAUGCCAGCCCUGAGCUCUGCUCCCCUGGCAAAGCAGGUACAACCCCUUGCACUAACCAAAGUGUUUUGGUGGCGGGGGGGAGGAAUCCCUGCACACUGUAAGUGUCGGUUUCUCUUGUAAAACCUCCUCGAGCUGCCCUGCUGCUAUACGGCCAGUGGUUAGAGGGAGUAGGACAGAGGGCCACCAAAUGCUCUGCUCCACACCACAUCUUCCACAGUUUGUCAUAGGCCCUUUUGUACUGAUUUUUAAACCUCCCACAUGCCUGUCUCUUCCAGCUACCUGGCUCAUGAAACCUCCUUGGAAAAAAAUGUGUUUACACUGAUGAGAAAAGCCUGACAAUGUGAAAGACAUUGGCUUGAAACUUUAAAGAUAAAUAAAUCCCCAUGCCCCAAUUACCUUUACUCACAGUGCUUGUGCUCUUUAAGGCAUGCCUCCUCAAGUCUGACUCGGGUACGUGGGGCAGCUGGAGUUGGCAGUAGCACGUAAGUGGCACUCAGGCAUUGUGUUGCUUGCA
ensembl:lncRNA